AUUGAACGCUGGCGGCAGGCCUAACACAUACAAGUCGAACGGUAACAGGAAGAAGCUUGCUUCUUUGCUGACGAGUGGCGGACGGGUGAGUAAUGUCUGGGAAACUUCCUGAUGGAGGGGGAUAACUACUGGAAACGGUAGCUAAUACCGCAUAACGUCGCAAGACCAAAGAGGGGGACCUUCGGGCCUCUUGCCAUCGGAUGUGCCCAGAUGGGAUUAGCUAGUAGGUGGGGUAACGGCUCACCUAGGCGACGAUCCCUAGCUGGUCUGAGAGGAUGACCAGCCACACAGGAACUGAGACACGGUCCAGACUCCUACGGGAGGCAGCAGUGGGGAAUAUUGCACAAUGGGCGCAAGCCUGAUGCAGCCAUGCCGCGUGUAUGAAGAAGGCCUUCGGGUUGUAAAGUACUUUCAGCGGGGAGGAAGGGAGUAAAGUUAAUACCUUUGCUCAUUGACGUUACCCGCAGAAGAAGCACCGGCUAACUCCGUG
rnacentral:rRNA from 1 species